AAGACCCUGCGCUUUUGGAGCGGCCGAUGUCUGAUUAGCUUGUUGGUAAGGUAAAAGCUUACCAAGGCUUCGAUCAGUAGCUGGUCUGAGAGGACGACCAGCCACACUGGGACUGAGACACGGCCCAGACUCCUACGGGAGGCAGCAGUGGGGAAUUUUGGACAAUGGGGGCAACCCUGAUCCAGCCAUGCCGCGUGAGUGAAGAAGGCCUUCGGGUUGUAAAGCUCUUUCAGCCGGAACGAAACGGUUACGGUUAAUACCCGUGACUACUGACGGUACCGGAAGAAGAAGCACCGGCUAACUACGUGCCAGCAGCCGCGGUAAUACGUAGGGUGCGAGCGUUAAUCGGAAUUACUGGGCGUAAAGCGUGCGCAGGUGGUUUUGUAAGUCAGAUGUGAAAUCCCCGGGCUCAACCUGGGAACU
rnacentral:rRNA from 1 species